UACGUAGGGAGCAAGCGUUGUCCGGAAUCAUUGGGCGUAAAGCGCGCGUAGGUGGCUUCGUAAGUCCGUUGUGAAAGUCAAAGGCUCAACCUUUGAAAGCCGAUUGAUACUGUGAAGCUAGAGUACGGAAGAGGCGAGUGGAAUUCCUGGUGUAGCGGUGGAAUGCGCAGAUAUCAGGAGGAACACCAAUAGCGAAGGCAGCUCGCUGGGACGUUACUGACACUGAGGCGCGAAAGCGUGGGGAGCGAACAGG
rnacentral:rRNA from 1 species